AUGGCCUGCAUCCCCAUUUUGAUUCUACUAUCCUUGAGUUCAUUCUGCAAAUCCGAUGACCAGCUCACAUAUGCAAAGCCACUUGCCUCAGGCGACACUCUGGUCUCCAAGGGCGGGGACUUUGCGCUUGGCUUCUUCUCCCCGACCAGCUCCAGCCGUAGCCUCUACCUUGGCAUAUGGUACCACAACAUCCCCAAACACACGGUUGUUUGGGUUGCAAACCGCAACAAACCAAUCACCUCCUCUGUUUCUGCAGAGCUUGGCAUCAGAAACACUUCUGGCCUGAUCUUGUCUGAUUCCCAAGGCCAAACUGUUUGGGCAACCAACAACAAAAUCACCGCUGGAGAUAACGGAGUUGAUGCAGUGAUCCUCGACACGGGGAACUUGGUCCUCCGGUCAUCCAACGGCACAGUCAUAUGGCAAAGCUUUGAUCACCCGACGGACACCCUCCUUCCUGGCAUGAGGUUCGUGCUGAGUUAUAAAGAUCGCGUGGUUGGGCGUCUUGUUGCUUGGAAGGGCCCUGACGACCCUUCCGAUGGAGAUUUUUCUCUUGGCCUUGACCCCAGUUCAAACCUUCAGCUAGUAAUUUGGCAUGGAACUAGCUUGUACUGCCGCACCAUGGUUCGGAACAGUAUAACUGUAGGUGGAGGACCAUAUCGGAGCAACACCAGCUCCAUCCUGUACCAAACAGCCACUGACGUUGGAGACCAGUACUACUUUGUGUACACAGUCUCCGAUGGCUCACCAUAUGUGCGUAUGAUGGUUGACUACACUGGAAAAAUGAAGAUAUUGAGUUGGAGCGACUCCUCGUCUUCAUGGACAGUCAUCGGCGAGGUCCCCACUGCCUGCGACUUCUACGCCUCGUGUGGCUCAUUCGGCUAUUGUGAUUUCACUGGAACUGUCCACACAUGCCAGUGCCUUGAUGGGUACGAGCUUGAUGGUCUUGACUUCUCCAGAGGAUGUCGGAGAAUGGAACCUCUGAAAUGUGGAAAGCCAAAUCAUUUUGUGGCUUUGCCUGUGCUGAUGGUCCCGGCCAACUUCUUGCACAUCAAGAACAGAAGUUUCGACCAGUGCGCGGCUGAGUGCAGCAGCAAUUGCUCGUGUACAGCAUAUGCAUAUGCUAACUUGAGCAGUGAUGGCACUUAUGAAGACCCAUCAAGGUGCUUAGUCUGGACAGGGGAGCUUGUUGACACACAGAAGUUCAGCAACAAUGGCGAGAAUCUGUACCUCCGGCUUGCUGACUCUCCAGAUCAAAAGAACAACAAUUUGGUAAAGGUUGUAACCCCGAUUAUUGCAAGUCUGGUGAUACUGACAUGCAUAGCCUUUGUAACGGUAUGCAUAUACAGAGGCAAGUGGCGAAACAAGGAAAUCAAGCAGAGACAGAUGUUAAGAUAUGUCAGCUCUCCAAAUGAAAUUGGAGGCGAAUAUGUGGGGUUUCCCUUUGUUAGCUUCGAAGACAUUGCUACAGCAACGGAUAAUUUCUCUGACUCCAACCAAAUUGGAAGGGGAGGUUUCGGCAAAGUUUACAAGGGAUUGCUGGAAGGUGGCAAGGAAGUUGCUGUCAAAAGGCUUAGUGAUGGUUCUAGGCAAGGUAUUGCGGAGUUUAAGAAUGAAAUAGUUCUAUUUGCUAAAUUGCAGCAUAAAAACUUAGUCAGACUUCUUGGCUGCUCCAUUUACGGAGAUGAGAGACUACUGAUCUAUGAAUACUUACCCAACAAAAGUUUGGAUGCUUUCCUUUUUGGUGCUGCAAGACAAUCUGUGCUUGAUUGGCCCACACGGUUUAAGAUAAUUAAAGGUGUAGCAAGAAGGCUUCUUUAUCUUCACCAAGAUUCAUGA
rnacentral:rRNA from 1 species